GAUACCCUAUUAUUUUAAAUGUGAAAUUUUAAACUGAAAUUAUUAUUAGUUAAGAUCUUUAAAGUUAAAGAUUUUGGCGGUAUUUUAGUCUUUUCAGAGGAACCUGUCUUUUGAUCGAUAAUCCACGAUUAUUUAUACUUUGUUUAAUUAAUUUGCAUAUCGUCGUUAAAUAAAUAUUUUAUCAGGAUUUUAAUGUUUAGGGAUUUUUAUUAUAAAGUAAUUCAGAUCAAGGUGUAGUUUAUAGCAAAGAUAAGAUGGGUUACAUUAUAUUUAUAUGUGGAUUUUCUUUUUGGAAUGGAAAUUAAAUUGGAUUUGAAAGUAAUAUUUAUAUUUAUAUAAUAUGAUUUAGCUCUAAAAUAUGCACACAUCGCC
rnacentral:rRNA from 1 species